AGGAGUGUAGCCCAGUGGUGGAGCCCUUGCCUAGCAUGCAUGAAGCCCUGGGUUCAAUCCUCAGCACCUUA
rnacentral:tRNA from 1 species